rnacentral:rRNA from 1 species
UACAGAGGUCCCAAGCGUUGUUCGGAUUCACUGGGCGUAAAGGGUGCGUAGGCGGUCGGGUAAGUCUGAUGUGAAAUCUCACAGCUUAACUGUGAAACUGCAUUGGAUACUAUCUGGCUAGAGGAAUGGAGGGGAGACUGGAAUACUUGGUGUAGCAGCGAAAUGCGUAGAUAUCAAGUGGAACACCAGUGGCGAAGGCGAGUCUCUGGACAUUUCCUGACGCUGAGGCACGAAAGCCAGGGGAGCAAACGGG